GGACAGGGAGGCUAGGGCGACCGAGGAUACGCCGAGGUCUAGUCCGGCUUGGCAGCGCGAGCUAGAGAGCUUGGCGAGCCGCGGGGCUGGGAAGUCAGGGUUUGGGGGCCAGGCCUGCCCUCUGGUGCUUUCGGCUCCUCGGGCCCCCGACUUUAAAGUGCUCAAGUUGGGGUCGGCGCCAUCAUGACGCCUGAGACUGUGAAGUACUACUCCAACAUACCUGUGCAGUGCAUGAUCUUCAUGCAUUCAUUGCUGAGGGAACUUCAAUUGCAGGUGGAUUUAAAAACAUGUGAAGAAAAUGUUAGUUACAAUUGAUAGAAGAACUAACUCACUCAAGAGCCUGAAGAAAGGAACAGAGCUUCUAGUAUGAGAUGCUGAGACCGUCUCACUGUGAAGGAUGUUCCCUGUCCAUUCUGAUAAGAGGGGGGCUGCACAGCUUGGACUGAUUCAUGUCUCUUGCUUGGAUCCUGCAACAUCUGGUCUACAGUGCAGGAAAUAAGUAAGGACAAUGUCAGAAACCUAAGAGCAGGAAAUUCCACGGGGUGAGAGUUAUACAUGGUCUAAUUCUCUAAGUCCUGCUUGUUCUGCCAGUGGGUUAGUGUGUUUUAAUAUCUUACGUUAAGAGCAGACAUUAUUUUUAAUAGUACAUCUCAUUUUCUCUCUAGGGAAAGCAGGAGAUAUGGUGCAUUCUGCAAGACUACAGCAGCAGCUUUCCAGGCACAGCCUAGUGGGCUGGAUAAUGUGCUAUCUCAAAACCAGAGCAAGGUCUACCCAGAGCCUUGAUAAUGGCUCCACAGGAUCAGAACAAUAUGCUCUCACACAAAACCCUUUUAAAACAAUACAUAUUUUAUGUCCCUUUAUCUAUAACUGAGGCUUUCCAAGGCAGAAUAAAUCCUGACGACUUUGUUAAUUAUAUAUUGAGGAUAUUGCAGAACUCAAGUGUAGGAAUAAAGCCAAGCCUCGACCAGAGAUACUCAACUGGAAUAUGGUACGUGCUCAGCAGCUACUCUGCUUUCUCUUCUGGUAUUUAUUUUGUCAAAUAACUUUCUCCACUUCUCCUGAGGUAUGGUGGUCUAAAGGUAUACACAUUCUUGUAUUUUGUAAUUAAUAAAGCUUUCAAAGCCACCCAUUAAAACCCAGAUACUAAUUCUAAAUAAUCAGAGAGGAUAAACAACACUCUAGUUUACACUAACGUUCAUUUGAUCAUCACUGUGAGACCAGGUAAGAUAAAAACCAUAUGAGGGUUGAGCGCUUAGGGCAGUGGGGUUUUUCUCAUGUUGUAACAUGCUCUCAGAUCUUAACACAACUGACUCCUUGACAGAAGUACCAUUCAUUCUAUAAAAACCCAGCACAUAUAUAGCACCACCUGCCAAACUUAAAGAUCUAAUCUGUCAAAAUCCAUAGUUCUGAGAAAGUUUCUAAAUUUACUAACUUUGCAUUUGGCUUCUGUAUUUUCCCUUCCAGCUAACUGUUCUUGUAAAUGGAAGUAUGUCAACUCAGGAUAUAAUCUUUGUGCUUAAAACCUCACCCUGGGAAAGACUUGCAGCUACACUGGGAUCCUGAACACACACAAUAUUUACUACCCUCCAGCCUGCUAUGACCUUCUAUUGGCUUAAACUUGUAGUCUUCUCUGGUAGAUAUCUCACAACAAUGAAAGGGGAAUCACCCAGGAUGAAAGUUGUCUAUACUUUAUGUCUCUACAUUGUGCUUUACAUAUUAUAAUUUCAGGGAGAUUACUAACUACUCAUGUGUUCAGAUUUAAAGUCAUUUUAAAACUUCUAUUCUAUAUUUCAAUAUCUAUUACCACUACUAUCCCCUCUCUAUAAUUUUGCUUCAAUUUGCAAAAGUGCGGUAUAUUUCUAUAAGUAAAAGUAGGCAGAACAUUUGCCUAUAGGAAUGUUCCUUGUAUCAACACUUGUGUUGUCUCUGCACAUGGGGCUAAGCAGCCAACAGUAUUGCCAUUCAUUAAAAGAUGGUUCUACCCUGUUUUGCUGUAGUGAGCACAUGAUCCCAUGCUGUGAACUGUAAAGUGGUAGGUACCAGAGAUGCUAAGUGAGAUUAGUAGCAGGACCUCCCUCUUAGAACCAAGCAAUAGUACUUGCAUUCUGCUCUCAGCUUGCUGACUAGUAUUUGCAAGGAUGCCUUAUAAAGACUACUGACCUCAGUUUGAUUCAAUCUGUUGGAUUCUAAUCUGUCUAUUUCCACUACAGUGCUUAGACAUGAUUUCACAUACCACUGUUAGACAAGAAGGAACUAUUAGGUAUAUAUUUUUAAAAAAAUUCCUUGAAAUAUUUUUCCAAAUCAAUAUUAUUUUAUUCUAUGCAAUUAUUCUAACACAUUUUAAGUCAAAAUACUGUUUCCAAAAAGUAAAUUACAUUUCCUAUUAAAACCUAAAAUGGCUAGGCACUGGAUUUGACUCACUGGUUAAGAGCACUGGCUAAUCCCCCAGAAAAUACAGGUUCAAUUCCCAGCACCCAGAUGGCAGCUCACAACUGUCUGUAAUUCCAGUUCUAAGGGAAUUGGCAUGCUCACAUAGACCUAAAUGCAGCUGAAACACCAAUGCACAUAAAAAUAAAUGAAUCUUAAAAAAUUACUUAAGUAAAACCCAAAAUGGGAUGUUUUCAGUAUUAUAUCUAUCACAAUGACAAGACUAACUUUAGGAGCAAAUGCUCUUGCUUUUUCUAUAAUAGUUCAAUCGUAAACCAUGUAUAUGUGUUAAAUAUAUUUAUAUAUAUAUUUAUUUAUUUAUAAUUUACAGAUGUACAUGAAAGUUUAGUUUAUAUUACAAAUAGAUGCUAGAUAUCUUAUUUUUCUUUAUAUAUAUGUGUAUAUAUAUGAAGAUAUAUAAAAGUUUAAUGUAGAUCAUAAGUAGAUAUAUGGUAUAUUUCUUACUUAUUGUCAGUAAUAAGGUAGUAUAGUUAUCUAAAUAUAUACACAGUUUUACUAGGAAGCUGUAGAAGUAACACUUUGUAACAGGCUUUAGAUUGUAGGAUAAAACUGUAAUUUUUCCUUAUCAGUCACACUAAUAGUCUCUGAAACAGUUUUUUCAGUUGUUAAAUGACAAAUAUGUUUUACAAGAAUGAAAAGUUUUAGCACAUAUUUGACAAUAAAUGAACAUGCUGAACAUUUCACACAUG
rnacentral:lncRNA from 1 species